UACGUAGGGUGCGAGCGUUAAUCGGAAUUACUGGGCGUAAAGUGUGCGCAGGUGGCCGCGCAAGUCGAGUGUGAAAUCCCCGAGCUUAACUUGGGAAUUGCGCUCGAAACUACGUGGCUCGAGUGUGGCAGAGGAAGGUGGAAUUCCACGUGUAGCGGUGAAAUGCGUAGAGGUGUGGAGGAACACCGAUGGCGAAGGCAGCCUUCUGGGCCAACACUGACGCUCAUGCACGAAAGCGUGGGGAGCAAACAGG
rnacentral:rRNA from 1 species